CGGACGGGUGAGUAACGCGUGGAAAACCUGCCGUAUACUGGGGGAUAACACUUAGAAAUAGGUGCUAAUACCGCAUAAGCGCACAGCUUCGCAUGAAGCGGUGUGAAAAACUCUGGUGGUAUACGAUGGUUCCGCGUCUGAUUAGCUAGUUGGUGGGGUAAUGGCCUACCAAGGCAACGAUCAGUAGCCGGCCUGAGAGGGUGAGCGGCCACAUUGGGACUGAGACACGGCCCAAACUCCUACGGAAGGCAGCAG
rnacentral:rRNA from 1 species